rnacentral:lncRNA from 1 species
CCGCGUCUCCGCUCCCGCGCUGCCGGCUUCCGCGGCUUCCCCCACUUCUCAGCCUGCUUCUCUCUCCCCUCUCCUUCCUUUCCUGUCCUUUCACACUCGCGCCCCAGCCCCCGUCCCAUCUUCCCCAAGGACUUGCAAACUUCGCCCCUGAGGAGCGGACUCUUCGGUUCUCCGUGGAAAAUCAACCAGACCCAAAACAGAGGUCCCGGGUUUGGGGAUACCACGCCGCGCGCCUGAGCAUCCGGGCUCCAUUUCUCCAGGCGACAUCUGCGGGAAGGGAGACCUAAAGGCCAAGGCUGGGGAAGAGAGAUCAUCCACUAAGGCCGGGGUUUCCGAGUGAGGCGCCCACUUCGCAUCCCACAGUACCGCCAGAAACCCAUCGGACCCACAAAGAUCAAAAUCUUCGGUAACACACCAAGCUGGCGACGCUGUGGGGAAGCAAGCACUCUCCCACGUGGCUGGCGCGCAGUGAGGGCGCAGGAAAGAAAAAGAAAAAAAAAGAAAAGGCAGAGCGGGGUGGCUCACACCUGUAAUCUCAACAGUUUAGGAGACCAAGGAGGGAGAAGCCCUAGCGGCCAGGAGUUCCAGAUCAGCCUGGGCAACAUAACGAGACCCUCCUCUCUGC